ACUAUAGCUUGACACUGAACAUUGAGCCUUGAUGUGUAGGAUAGGUGGGAGGCUUUGAAGCGUGGACGCCAGUCUGCGUGGAGCCGACCUUGAAAUACCACCCUUUAAUGUUUGAUGUUCUAACGUGGACCCGUGAUCCGGGUUGCGGACAGUGUCUGGUGGGUAGUUUGACUGGGGCGGUCUCCUCCUAAAGAGUAACGGAGGAGCACGAAGGUUGGCUAAUCCUGGUCGGACAUCAGGAGGUUAGUGCAAUGGCAUAAGCCAGCUUGACUGCGAGCGUGACGGCGCGAGCAGGUGCGAAAGCAGGUCAUAGUGAUCCGGUGGUUCUGAAUGGAAGGGCCAUCGCUCAACGGAUAAAAGGUACUCCGGGGAUAACAGGCUGAUACCGCCCAAGAGUUCAUAUCGACGGCGGUGUUUGGCACCUCGAUGUCGGCUCAUCACAUCCUGGGGCUGAAGUAGGUCCCAAGGGUAUGGCUGUUCGCCAUUUAAAGUGGUACGCGAGCUGGGUUUAGAACGUCGUGAGACAGUUCGGUCCCUAUCUGCCGUGGGCGCUGGAGAACUGAGGGGGGCUGCUCCUAGUACGAGAGGACCGGAGUGGACGCAUCACUGGUGUUCGGGUUGUCAUGCCAAUGGCACUGCCCGGUAGCUACAUGCGGAAGAGAUAAGUGCUGAAAGCAUCUAAGCACGAAACUUGCCCCGAGAUGAGUUCUCCCUGAGACUUUAGGUCUCCUGAAGGAACGUUGAAGACGACGACGUUGAUAGGCCGGGUGUGUAAGCGCAGCGAUGCGUUGAGCUAACCGGUACUAAUGAACCGUGAGGCUUAACCUUACAACGCCGAAG
rnacentral:rRNA from 1 species